rnacentral:rRNA from 1 species
GACGAACGCUGGCGGCGUGCCUAAUACAUGCAAGUCGAACGCAGUGGGGACGGGUGAGUAACACGUGGGUAACCUCCCAUCAGAGGGGAUAACACUUGGAAACAGGUGCUAAACCGAUCCUGAUGGAUGACCCCGCGGUGCAUUAGCUAGUUGGUGAGGUAACGGCUCACCAAGGCCACGAUUCCUAGCCGACCUGAGAGGUUGAUCGGGCACACUGGAGCUGAGCCCCGGCCCAGACUCCUACGGGAGGCAGCGCUAGGGACUCUUCGGCAAUGGACGAAAGUCUGACCGAGCAACGCCGCGUGAGUGAAGAUGGUUUUCGGAUCGUAAAUCUCUGUUGUUAGAGAAGCGGUAUCUAACCAGAAAGCCACGGCUAACUACGUGCCAGCAGCCGCGGUAAUAC